CCUACGGGGGGCUGCAGUGGGGAAUAUUGGACAAUGGGGGGAACCCUGAUCCAGUCAUGCCGCGUGUGUGAAGAAGGCCCUCGGGUUGUAAAGCACUUUCAGUGAGGAAGAACGCCUGGUGGUUAAUACCCAUCAGGAAAGACAUCACUCACAGAAGAAGCACCGGCUAACUCCGUGCCAGCAGCCGCGGUAAUACGGAGGGUGCGAGCGUUAAUCGGAAUUACUGGGCGUAAAGCGCGCGUAGGUGGCUUGAUAAGCCGGUUGUGAAAGCCCCGGGCUCAACCUGGGAACGGCAUCCGGAACUGUCAAGCUAGAGUGCAGGAGAGGAAGGUAGAAUUCCCGGUGUAGCGGUGAAAUGCGUAGAGAUCGGGAGGAAUACCAGUGGCGAAGGCGGCCUUCUGGACUGACACUGACACUGAGGUGCGAAAGCGUGGGUAGCAAACAGGAUUAGAUACCCUUGUAGUC
rnacentral:rRNA from 1 species